GACGAACGCUGGCGGCGUGCUUAACACAUGCAAGUCGAACGGAAAGGCCCUGCUUUUGUGGGGUGCUCGAGUGGCGAACGGGUGAGUAACACGUGAGUAACCUGCCCUUGACUUUGGGAUAACUUCAGGAAACUGGGGCUAAUACAGGAUAGGAGCUCCUGCUGCAUGGGGGGGGUUGGAAAGUUUCGGCGGUUGGGGAUGGACUCGCGGCUUAUCAGCUUGUUGGUGGGGUAGUGGCUUACGAAGCCUUUGACGGGUAGCCGGCCUGAGAGGGUGACCGGCCACAUUGGGACUGAGAUACGGCCCAGACUCCUACGGGAGGCAGCAGUGGGGAAUAUUGCACAAUGGGCGGAAGCCUGAUGCAGCAACGCCGCGUGCGGGAUGACGGCCUUCGGGUUGUAAACCGCUUUCGCCUGUGACGAAGCGUGAGUGACGGUAAUGGGUAAAGAAGCACCGGCUAACUACGUG
rnacentral:rRNA from 1 species